rnacentral:rRNA from 1 species
GAUGAACGCUGGCGGCGUGCCUAAUACAUGCAAGUCGAGCGAACGGACGAGAAGCUUGCUUCUCUGAUGUUAGCGGCGGACGGGUGAGUAACACGUGGAUAACCUACCUAUAAGAGGGGAUAACUUCGGGAAACCGGAGCUAAUACCGGAUAAUAUUUUGAACCGCAUGGUUCAAAAGUGAAAGACGGUCUUGCUGUCACUUAUAGAUGGAUCCGCGCUGCAUUAGCUAGUUGGUAAGGUAACGGCUUACCAAGGCAACGAUGCAUAGCCGACCUGAGAGGGUGAUCGGCCACACUGGAACUGAGACACGGUCCAGACUCCUACGGGAGGCAGCAGUAGGGAAUCUUCCGCAAUGGGCGAAAGCCUGACGGAGCAGCGCCGCGUGAGUGAUGAAGGUCUUCGGAUCGUAAAACUCUGUUAUUAGGGAAGAACAUAUGUGUAAGUAACUGUGCACAUCUUGACGGUACCUAAUCAGAAAGCCACGGCUAACUACGUG